ensembl:lncRNA
UGUUUAACUUUACCUAACACUUCAAAAAAAGCAGUAGUAGAAAACACAUUUCAUGUUGAGAGCAUGCAUGGAGGUGAGGUGAACUUUUACUACCUGCAAGUCUGCAACAGAGUAUUUUGAGUAACUGAAAUGGAAAAUAUACUUCAUCUCUCCCAGCUUCUUGCUGAUAUGAAUCAAUUUAACAUGUGCAAGUGGAAACUUUCUUGCCCAGCAGUCGAUGAGCUAUGAUAUCUUAUUUUAUUUGCUUCUUCUGGAAUGAACGUAAUAAUGCUUUACAAAGAGGUCUCACUUCAUAAAUGUAUCAGGCCUCCUAAUACGGGAUGUCUGAAAAUCUGGAUAAAUAGGAGCGUGGUACCGGCUUGGAAGAGAGAUGAAAUUUCAGCACUAGCAGUGACAACGACUGAGAGGGAAACACGGCCAAGGCAACACAUCUGUCCUCGUGUUCCCGGUGUUGCACAGCAGUAACUGGCAGUACGAAGUGCGGGUGCAAUGACUUCUUUGACCGGACUCCUGGACGUAAACUCAGAGCGAUGGACCAUUGAGCAAGCCCCUGGGAAGAGCAUCCUUCUGUUGGGGAGCAGCUGUCCCACGGUUCAUAUGUGCGCGCUGCUGUCCCCGCUCGCGCACGCUGGAGCAUCGAGUCUCUCCGCGUGCGAAGGAGCAGACGAGGCCACGUAUUACCCUGUUGGACACCGCGACUCGACGUCAGCCCUGCGAUUUCAGAACGUUUUCUUCCCUUGCAGAGAUUUGUGUAAAAACACCCGCCGGAAGGUAAAAUACCUCUUCUUUUUAGCAGCAGAGCAGCCCGUGGCGGGCGAAAGCGCCGAAAACCCGCGCGUCCCGUCCGGUCACCGCGCUCCGGGUCCUGCCUCUCGUUCUGCCGCUAUAAAGACACAAACCAGCAAGUGUUAAACUUGGCCUUUAAAAACAGUUGCGAAAUAUCUAAAGAUAUUUGAUAUAUGAAAUAUCGCAAUUCCCCACUUAAGGUAUUUUUAUUCUAUAAUUAACAAAGAACCUAAAGAGCAUCGUUUAAGAGUAUUUAUUGUCCUCCUGAGCCGCUAGCCGGGCUUCUUAGCAGGCACCGGCAGCUAAAUCCAUCACUACCUCCUUCUCAGGCAGCUCAUCAAGGAGCAAUCUGCCAUCCGCGGAUAAGUCCUGUGCGCGUCGAGAAAAUUCGGACUCCGGCGGCAGCGGCCCCGAGGGCGCCGGGGGCUCCGCCGUCUGCACCGGCACGGACCAGUCCUCUCAGGCACGCCUUCGGGAAGAUUUCAUCUGCAAGGCGUUUAGGAUGGAAGAAUAUGAAGUAAUGUAUAAUGUACUGUUUUCAUUGGGAAAAAAAGAAAAAAAAAAGAAAAAAGAACCACCGGCCAAAAAAAAAAAAAAAAGCCAUGUGUAUUAAAUGCAGAACGGCUCAUUAUCCGAGCACUGUCCAGUCAUUGUUUUAAAUAACUACUUCACAUCAGCGGCUAGAAUGCGAAGCGGUAUGGGUUUCAGGCAAAACGGAUUCGCAUUAUUAUUUAUUCAUGAUUUUUAAAAGGAUCAUUAUUUUUGACGGACAGCCACAGUCAAAAGAUUUGCACACGGAAGCGCGUGUUCCCCCAUAAUAACGAUUAAUCAAUAAACAUUGGAAAACGGUGCUUAAACA